CUGGGAUUACAGGCGUGAGCCACUGCACCCAGCCUGAAUGUGAUUCUUUUAUUCUGCCAUUCGAUAACUCUUCGUUGAGUACUGUUCUAGGUGCUGGGAAUACAGCAGUGAACAAACAAUGCUGAUAACAGCCACGGUGACAACAGGCGUAGCUGACAUGUUCACAGUGCCAUGUGCCAGACCAUGCUGUGCACCUAACGAUGCCAUCAUUAAUUCUCACAACUCCGGGAAGGAGAUUCUACCUCC
rnacentral:lncRNA from 1 species